rnacentral:tRNA from 1 species
GCUUCGGUAAUGGAUCAGCACGGCAGACUGGAUAUCUGUAGGUGCGGGUUCGAGUCCCGCCUGAGGUU